UACGGAGGGAGCUAGCGUUGCUCGGAAUCACUGGGCGUAAAGGGUGCGUAGGCGGCCGGGUAAGUCUGAUGUGAAAUCUCACAGCUUAACUGUGAAACUGCAUUGGAUACUAUCCGGCUCGAGGAAUGGAGGGGAGACUGGAAUACUUGGUGUAGCAGUGAAAUGCGUAGAUAUCAAGUGGAACACCAGUGGCGAAGGCGAGUCUCUGGACAUUUCCUGACGCUGAGGCACGAAAGCCAGGGGAGCAAACGGG
rnacentral:rRNA from 1 species